GACGAACGCUGGCGGCGUGCUUAACACAUGCAAGUCGAGCGGAAAGGCCACUUCGGUGGUACUCGAGCGGCGAACGGGUGAGUAACACAUGAGUAAUCUGCCCCUGGCUUUGGGAUAGCCACCGGAAACGGUGAUUAAUACCGGAUACGACCACUUCUCGCAUGGGAUGGUGGUGGAAAGUUUUUUCGGCCAGGGAUGCGCUCGCGGCCUAUCAGCUUGAUGGUGAGGUAAUGGCUCACCAUGGCUUCGACGGGUAGCCGGCCUGAGAGGGUGACCGGUCACACUGGGACUGAGACACGGCCCAGACUCCUACGGGAGGCAGCAGUGGGGAAUAUUGGACAAUGGGCGGAAGCCUGAUCCAGCAACGCCGCGUGAGGAAUGACGGCCUUCGGGUUGUAAACCUCUUUCAGCAGGGACGAAGCGCAAGUGACGGUACCUGCAGAAGAAGCACCGGCCAACUACGUGCCAGCCGCCGCAGUAA
rnacentral:rRNA from 1 species